UACAGAGGGUGCGAGCGUUGUCCGGAAUCACUGGGCGUAAAGGGCGCGUAGGUGGUGGCUUAAGCGUGCGGUGAAAGCUCGGGGCUCAACCCCGAGUCGGCCGUGCGAACUGGGCUCACUGGAGCAUAGUAGAGGCAGGUGGAAUUCCGGGUGUAGCGGUGGAAUGCGUAGAGAUCCGGAAGAACACCGGUGGCGAAGGCGGCUACCUGGACCAGCACUGACACUGAGGCACGAAAGCGUGGGGAGCAAACAGG
rnacentral:rRNA from 1 species